rnacentral:rRNA from 1 species
GUGCCAGCCGCCGCGGUAAUACGUAGGGUGCGAGCGUUAAUCGGAAUUACUGGGCGUAAAGCGUGCGCAGGCGGAUUGUUAAGCAAGACGUGAAAUCCCCGGGCUUAACCUGGGAAUGGCGUUUUGAACUGGCAGUCUAGAGUGCGUCAGAGGGGGGUGGAAUUCCACGUGUAGCAGUGAAAUGCGUAGAGAUGUGGAGGAACACCGAUGGCGAAGGCAGCCCCCUGGGAUGACACUGACGCUCAUGUACGAAAGCGUGGGUAGCAAACAGGAUUAGAAACCCUUGUAGUCC